rnacentral:lncRNA from 1 species
GGGCAGGCACCACGGCAGCCUGCUCUGAAGGGAGCUUUCAUGUGGCCGACCAACUCUACUCCUUGACUCCUCCCUUCUCUCAUUGAAAAAAAAUGUUUAAGGGGACAUUUCUCUCUCCUAAACUUUUUAUGUUCCAUUGAAGACCUGGAAAACAUGUUAAAUAAAAAUGCUUUGCCACAGCUGACCUAUGUCUUCUGGCUUGUACCCCACAACAUCUUAUCUAAUGGAGCCAGUCUUGGUGCUCUGUGUUCACCUGGUUCAUCUGAGGAGCUGCAUCUACCCUGCCCAUGCCAUAGAUCCUGCCCUGUUUGCUUCUCCUGUUGCUGCUAGUGGACAUGAGAAGGACAGAAUAACGGGCUCCCAGAUUCACAAGCCCCACCAAGAGGAUCACCCCAGGAACGCUUGGAGGCUGAGGAGUUCACUGAGGCUACUGCAUCUUGAGACUCAGGAUGAAGACCCAGCUUGGGGCUGUCAAAGGUUUUUUGCAUGUCUGACACCCAUGACUCCACCUGGACCUUAUGGCUCCACCCAGAAGCAAUUCAGCCCAACAGGAGGACAGCUUCAACCCAUUACGAUUUCAUCUCUGCCCCAACCACUCAGCAGCAAGCACCUGUUACCUGUCCACCCCCACCCCUUCCCCCAAACUGCCUUUGAAAAAUCCCUAACCUAUGAGCUUUGAAUAAGAUGAGUACGAACUUCAUCGCCCACGUGGCGUGGCCGGCCUCGUGUCUAUUAAAUUCUUUUUCUACUACAA